CAGCUCGGGACCCAUGGAGGA
rnacentral:misc_RNA from 1 species